rnacentral:lncRNA from 1 species
ACAUAUGUAGACAAAAAAGGUAGAAAAACAGCAUCAUCAAUCUGGAAAUAUUAUUUAAUUAUGUUAUUAUCCACAUGAUACAAGCCCAGCAAGAGAGAAAAACAAAGAUACAUAGAUAAUGAAGAUAGGCAACAAUAUUUAAAGAUGGAAGUUGUAUGAGUAGUGUGAUCACUCCAUUCGAAUAACACAACGAAGCCCCUCCCCUUUGAGCAUCAGCUCAAACGCCUUGUUGAUCUCUGCAAACGGCACCGUGUGUGUUAUGAACUUCUCCACUUCCAGUUCCUGCACCAACAAAUAUAUUAAUCAGAGCCAUUCACACUGAGUGAUGAUUGAAGAUUGAAGAUUGAAGAUUGAAGAUUGAAGACGAACCUUGUUCAUGUACAUCUCGACAACUGAUGGAAGAUCAGAGCGAGGUUUGUAGUUGCCGAAGAAGGUUCCUUUAAGAGUCCUCUCGUUCAAGAAGUUGACCGGAUGAGUCUUGAACACAGCGUCCUUGUGAGGCACGCCA